GGCUAAAUGGCUAAGUGGUAAAGCGCUUGGCUCCUGAUCCGGGGUUCCCGGGUUCGAAUCCUGGUGAAGACU
rnacentral:tRNA from 1 species